UACGUAGGGUGCAAGCGUUAAUCGGAAUUACUGGGCGUAAAGCGUGCGCAGGCGGUUAUGCAAGACAGAUGUGAAAUCCCCGGGCUCAACCUGGGAACUGCAUUUGUGACUGCAUGGCUAGAGUACGGUAGAGGGGGAUGGAAUUCCGCGUGUAGCAGUGAAAUGCGUAGAUAUGCGGAGGAACACCGAUGGCGAAGGCAAUCCCCUGGACCUGUACCUCGACGCUCAUG
rnacentral:rRNA from 1 species